rnacentral:rRNA from 1 species
CCUACGGGAGGCAGCAGUGAGGAAUAUUGGUCAAUGGACGAGAGUCUGAACCAGCCAAGUAGCGUGAAGGAUGACUGCCCUAUGGGUUGUAAACUUCUUUUAUAUGGGAAUAAAACGUUCCACGUGUGGGAUUUUGUAUGUACCAUAUGAAUAAGGAUCGGCUAACUCCGUGCCAGCAGCCGCGGUAAUACGGAGGAUCCGAGCGUUAUCCGGAUUUAUUGGGUUUAAAGGGGGCGUAGGUGGAUUGUUAAGUCAGUUGUGAAAGUUUGCGGCUCAACCGUAAAAUUGCAGUUGAAACUGGCAGUCUUGAGUACAGUAGAGGUGGGCGGAAUUCGUGGUGUAGCGGUGAAAUGCUUAGAUAUCACGAAGAACUCCGAUUGCGAAGGCAGUUCACUGGACUGCAACUGACACUGAGGCUCGAAAGUGUGGGUAUCAAACGGGAUUAGAUACCCUUGUAGUC